UUUUAACACGAAGUGAGUGGCGAACGGGUGAGUAACACGUGGGUAACCUGCCCAGAAGUAGGGGAUAACACCUGGAAACAGAUGCUAAUACCGUAUAACAGAGAAAACCGCAUGGUUUUCUUUUAAAAGAUGGCUCUGCUAUCACUUCUGGAUGGACCCGCGGCGUAUUAGCUAGUUGGUGAGGUAAAGGCUCACCAAGGCAGUGAUACGUAGCCGACCUGAGAGGGUAAUCGGCCACAUUGGGACUGAGACACGGCCCAGACUCCUACGGGAGGCAGCAGUAGGGAAUCUUCCACAAUGGACGCAAGUCUGAUGGAGCAACGCCGCGUGAGUGAAGAAGGGUUUCGGCUCGUAAAGCUCUGUUGUUAAAGAAGAACGUGGGUAAGAGUAACUGUUUACCCAGUGACGGUAUUUAACCAGAAAGCCACGGCUAACUACGUGCCAGCAGCCGCGGUAAUACGUAGGUGGCAAGCGUUAUCCGGAUUUAUUGGGCGUAAAGCGAGCGCAGGCGGUCUUUUAAGUCUAAUGUGAAAGCCUUCGGCUCAACCGAAGAAGUGCAUUGGAAACUGGGAGACUUGAGUGCAGAAGAGGACAGUGGAACUCCAUGUGUAGCGGUGAAAUGCGUAGAUAUAUGGAAGAACACCAGUGGCGAAGGCGGCUGUCUGGUCUGCAACUGACGCUGAGGCUCGAAAGCAUGGGUAGCGAACAGGAUUAGAUACCCUGGUAGUCCAUGCCGUAAACGAUGAUUACUAAGUGUUGGAGGGUUUCCGCCCUUCAGUGCUGCAGCUAACGCAUUAAGUAAUCCGCCUGGGGAGUACGACCGCAAGGUUGAAACUCAAAAGAAUUGACGGGGGCCCGCACAAGCGGUGGAGCAUGUGGUUUAAUUCGAAGCUACGCGAAGAACCUUACCAGGUCUUGACAUCUUCUGACAGUCUAAGAGAUUAGAGGUUCCCUUCGGGGACAGAAUGACAGGUGGUGCAUGGUUGUCGUCAGCUCGUGUCGUGAGAUGUUGGGUUAAGUCCCGCAACGAGCGCAACCCUUAUUACUAGUUGCCAGCAUUAAGUUGGGCACUCUAGUGAGACUGCCGGUGACAAACCGGAGGAAGGUGGGGACGACGUCAAAUCAUCAUGCCCCUUAUGACCUGGGCUACACACGUGCUACAAUGGAUGGUACAACGAGUCGCGAGACCGCGAGGUUAAGCUAAUCUCUUAAAACCAUUCUCAGUUCGGACUGUAGGCUGCAACUCGCCUACACGAAGUCGGAAUCGCUAGUAAUCGCGGAUCAGCAUGCCGCGGUGAAUACGUUCCCGGGCCUUGUACACACCGCCCGUCACACCAUGAGAGUUUGUAACACCCAAAGCCGGUGGGGUAACCUUUUAGGAGCUAGCCGUCUAAGG
rnacentral:rRNA from 1 species